rnacentral:rRNA from 1 species
UACGUAGGGUGCAAGCGUUAAUCGGAAUUACUGGGCGUAAAGCGCGCGUAGGCGGCUCAUGAAGGCUGUGGUGAAAGUCCGGGGCUCAACCUCGGAUCGGCCGUGGCGACUCGUGGGCUGGAGCACUGUAGAGGCGGGUGGAAUUCCGGGUGUAGCGGUGGAAUGCGUAGAGAUCCGGAAGAACACCAGUGGCGAAGGCGGCCCGCUGGGCAGUGGCUGACGCUGAGGCGCGACAGCGUGGGGAGCAAACAGG